GGUAAUAAAAUUAAAACCAUUAUGUACUGGCGGUCCCAAUAUUAUAGAGAAACUCGCUUCAUAAUCGUAAAUACUCGAUAAUUUUAACUUUAUUCCCAUAUACGUUUAUAUACCGCCGUCUAAGAAAACAAUAAACAUAGCAAUUCCAUAAUCUCAAAAAUUAGAUAAAAAUUAGGUCAAGGUGUAGCUUAUAAUAAAGUAGAAGUAAGUUACAAUAAAAAUAAUUUAAGGAAAAAAAAUAAAAAUUACCUCAAAAAAGAAUUUAUAUACACAUAAGGACUAAAAUUCCUAAUAUAAUAAUUC
rnacentral:rRNA from 1 species